AACAGGGAUUGCCCUAGUAACGGCGAGUGAAGCGGCAACAGCUCAAAUUUGAAAUCUGGCCUUACGGUCCGAGUUGUAAUUUGCAGAGGAUGCUUCUGGCGACGUGCCUUCCGAGUUCCCUGGAACGGGACGCCAUAGAGGGUGAGAGCCCCCGUCCGGUCGUGCACCUAGCCUCUGUGAAGCUCCUUCGACGAGUCGAGUAGUUUGGGAAUGCUGCUCUAAAUGGGAGGUAUACGUCUUCUAAAGCUAAAUACCGGCCAGAGACCGAUAGCGCACAAGUAGAGUGAUCGAAAGAUGAAAAGCACUUUGAAAAGAGGGUUAAAUAGUACGUGAAAUUGCUGAAAGGGAAGCGCUUAUGACCAGACUUGGGCUCGGUGAAUCAUCCGGCGUUCUCGCCGGUGCACUUUGCCGUCCCAGGCCAGCAUCAGUUCGCGCCGGGGGAUAAAGGUUUCGGGAAUGUGGCCCCCUAGGGGGUGUUAUAGCCCGUUGCGUAAUACCCUGGCGUGGACUGAGGUCCGCGCUCUGCAAGGAUGCUGGCGUAAUGGUCAUCAGUGACCCGUCUUGAAACACGGACCAAGGAGUCGUCUUCGUAUGCGAGUGUUCGGGUGUCAAACCCCUACGCGUAAUGAAAGUGAACGUAGGAGAGAGCUUCGGCGCAUCUCCGACCGAUCCUGAUGUUCUCGGAUGGAUUUGAGUAAGAGCAUACGGGGCCGGACCCGAAAGAAGGUGAACUAUGCCUGUAUAGGGUGAAGCCAGAGGAAACUCUGGUGGAGGCUCGCAGCGGUUCUGACGUGCAAAUCGAUCGUCAAAUAUGGGCAUGGGGGGCGAAAGA
rnacentral:rRNA from 1 species